CAAAAAAACAAUCUCAGUUCAGACUGCAGGCUGCAACUCGCCUGCACGAAGUCGGAAUUGCUAGUAAUCGUAGGUCAGCAUACUACGGUGAAUACGUUCCCGGGCCUUGUACACACCGCCCGUCAAACCAUGAGAGUUGGCAACACCCGAAGUCGGUAGUCUAACCGCAAGGAGGACGCCGCCGAAGGUGGGGUUGAUGAUUAGGGUUAAGUCGUAACAAGGUAGC
rnacentral:rRNA from 1 species